UACGAAGGGGGCUAGCGUUGCUCGGAAUCACUGGGCGUAAAGGGUGCGUAGGCGGGUUUUUAAGUCAGAGGUGAAAUCCUGGAGCUCAACUCCAGAACUGCCUUUGAUACUGAAAGUCUUGAGUAUGGGAGAGGUGAGUGGAACUGCGAGUGUAGAGGUGAAAUUCGUAGAUAUUCGGAGGAACACCAGUGGCGAAGGCGGCUCACUGGCUCGACACUGACGCUGAGGUGCGAAAGCGUGGGGAGCAACAGG
rnacentral:rRNA from 1 species